CGAACGCUGGCGGCAUGCCUAACACAUGCAAGUCGAACGAGACCUUCGGGUCUAGUGGCGCACGGGUGCGUAACGCGUGGGAACCUGCCCUUAGGUUCGGAAUAACUCCCCGAAAGGGGUGCUAAUACCGGAUAAUGUCUUCGGACCAAAGAUUUAUCGCCUUUGGAUGGGCCCGCGUUGGAUUAGCUAGUUGGUAGGGUAAAAGCCUACCAAGGCGACGAUCCAUAGCUGGUCUGAGAGGAUGAUCAGCCACACUGGGACUGAGACACGGCUCAGACUCCUACGGGAGGCAGCAGUGGGGAAUAUUGGACAAUGGGCGAAAGCCUGAUCCAGCAAUGCCGCGUGAGUGAUGAAGGCCUUAGGGUUGUAAAGCUCUUUUACCCGGGAUGAUAAUGACAGUACCGGGAGAAUAAGCUCCGGCUAACUCCGU
rnacentral:rRNA from 1 species